CAGGAAGACUAACAGCCCUGGGAAAGCUGGUCUUCCCUUCCCCGCCUCGGUCAGUAUGUCCUUCACCAGCGGGUCCAGGCCCAGGACAAAGCCCUCUCGGGGAAGGUCAGCCGGAGAGCUUCAGCAGGGCAUUCAUGAGUCAUGCGGCAGGAACAAAGAAGCUUCAGUCUGAAACUUCCACGGGGGAAACAGUUUAAACAGCGUGGGCUCACAGGGCUUUUUGAAAUCUGAAAACAUGCCUUGGAGGUGCCCUUAAUCACCUGAUGGCAGCUGUUGUCUCCUGACAGCUAGAUUCCAAACGUAAACAUGAUUUGUCUGAAUGCGUUGGAAUCAUUUGCAUGCAGGUGUAGACAGCUCUAUGAUGGGCGUACUGGGAGCAGCUGGAAGAUACGCUCCGCUCACGCUGUCUGGUAGGGCCCAGGCUGCGUUUCUAGAUGGGCUCACGGCAGAGCCAGGCCAGCAUCCUUUCUCUUCGUGGGGGCAGCUCCCCAACUCUGGAACUCAGUCCUCAGGCCAUCCGCGUGAGGUGAAGACACAGAGGGCCAACAAGAUUGGCGGGGGUGAAGUCCUGCAACCUGGAGCCAGGGUCCAGGCACCCGGACACCCAGAUAACCAACACCUGCGCCCUAACCUGUGUGGUGCAGACACCCCUCUCUCAGCUGCCUGAGCACCCGAGCCCACCUGCCCACGCUCAGGUGCAUGUUGGGGGCAGAGCGAGGCAGUCUGUGAUUCAGACACAGGCCACUCCUUAUUGAGUGACUUGCACACGGAGUUUCAUCAGCUUCUUACAGGGGAUAAUAAUAUAACAACUCCCCCUUGCAGGGUGAGGUGAGGAUUCAACGAUGUCAUGACUCAAAAUGCUAACCCAGCGUUUGGCACAGGUGGAAGGGAGAAGCUGAUUCCAUCUCGAUGGAGUGGAAGGCUCCACGGAUAUUGUUCAGCUUCUGCGAGGCCAGGAGAAAGUUGAGAGCAAAGAGUGACAAGGGAAUUGAGAUGGGAGGAAGCCAGGAAGGGGG